AUGUCCCCAAGGGUUCUGCUGGUGCUACUGUUAGUGUUUGUUGGUGGGGUCAGGUGCCAAGUCCAGGUGAACCAGAGCUGGCUGGUGUUCACCAGGGAAGGAGAGACCGCUAGCAUUGCCUGCAAGUACGAAACUAGCUCUUUCUACAGUUUGCAGUGGUACAGGCAAUUCCCGGGAGAAGGACCAACACAUCUGCUCACGAUAGUGGGAGAGGAAGUCAGAAAGGGACCCAACUUCAGUGCUGUGCUCAAAAAAGACAAGAAGACGAGUCAUCUGCACAUCUCAGGAGUCCAGCACAAAGACACAGCCACCUACUUCUGCGCUGUGGAAGCACAAUGA